rnacentral:rRNA from 1 species
UACAGAGGUCCCGAGCGUUGUUCGGAUUCACUGGGCGUAAAGGGUGCGUAGGUGGCGUGGUAAGUUUGAUGUGAAAGCUCAGGGCUUAACCCUGAAAUGGCAUUGAGUACUACUGUGCUGGAGGUUUGGAGGGGGGACUGGAAUUCUUGGUGUAGCAGUGAAAUGCGUAGAUAUCAAGAGGAACACCAGUGGCGAAGGCGAGUCCCUGGACAACACCUGACACUGAGGCACGAAAGCUAGGGGAGCAAACAGG